UACGGAAGGCAGCAGUGGGGAAUAUUGCACAAUGGGCGCAAGCCUGAUGCAGCCAUGCCGCGUGUAUGAAGAAGGCCUUCGGGUUGUAAAGUACUUUCAGCGGGGAGGAAGGCGGUGGAGUUAAUAGCUUCACCGAUUGACGUUACCCGCAGAAGAAGCACCGGCUAACUCCGUGCCAGCAGCCGCGGUAAUACGGAGGGUGCAAGCGUUAAUCGGAAUUACUGGGCGUAAAAGCGCACGCAGGCGGUCUGUCAAGUCGGAUGUGAAAUCCCCGGGCUUAACCUGGGAACUGCAUUCGAAACUGGCAGGCUAGAGUCUUGUAGAGGGGGUAGAAUUCCGAGGUGUAGCGGUGAAAUGCGUAGAGAUCUGGAGGAAUACCGGGUGGCGAAGGCGGCCCCUGGGACAAGACUGACGCUCAGGUGCGAAAGCGUGGGGAGCAAACGAGGAUUAGGAUA
rnacentral:rRNA from 1 species